rnacentral:misc_RNA from 1 species
UCGCGGCUUAUCACCGGCAGUCCCCUUAGAGUGCCCAACUGAAUGAUGGCAACUAAGGGCGAGGGUUGCGCUCGUUGCGGGACUUAACCCAACAUCUCACGACACGAGCUGACGACAGCCAUGCAGCACCAGUGCCCCCUCUCGACUCGACGAGUCGUCCCCCUUUCAGGGUUCUACUUGGGGCAUGUCCAGCCUGGGUAAGGUUCUUCGCGUUGCGUCGAAUUAAACCACACGCUCCGCUGCUUGUGCGGGCCCCCGCCUAUUCCUUUGAGUUUUAACCUUGCGGCCGUAGUCCCCAGGCGGUGAACUUAAUGCGUUAGCUGCGGCACUGAUCGGGUCAAUCCGACCAACACCUAGUUCACAAAGUUUAGGGCGUGGACUAC